UACGUAGGGGGCUAGCGUUGUCCGGAAUCAUUGGGCGUAAAGCGCGUGUAGGCGGUUCGGUAAGUCCGCUGUGAAAGUCGGGGGCUCAACCCUCGAAUGCCGGUGGAUUCUGUCGGACUAGAGUACGGAAGAGGCGAGUGGAAUUCCUGGUGUAGCGGUGAAAUGCGCAGAUAUCAGGAGGAACACCAAUUGCGAAGGCAGCUCGCUGGGACGUUACUGACGCUGAGACGCGAAAGCGUGGGGAGCAAACAGG
rnacentral:rRNA from 1 species